rnacentral:lncRNA from 1 species
CUGUGGUUGUAAUGUCACCCCGGUUCGUUAGGGGGCGACGGUGCUCCUAAAACUCACCAGCUGAGAAUUGACUUUAUAGAAGAAGAACAAAAGGCAAUAAUAGCGACGUCUGUUGCUGAGUCUCGACCCUGGGUGAGUAGUAAACAUGUUUAAAAUAGUCCUACAGCAGCUCAGGGUCAUUCGUGGGUGAACAAUAGCACACAUUCUGGGCUCUUUAUGGACACAUGGUGGAGGUUUGGCACGUGGCUGAGGGAGAGGAGAUGGAAACUAAUGGAUCCAAAAUAGAGGGAUUCAACAAGUGCUCAGAGGGAGGCAGAUGAUCCCUUCAUGGUGACAGAAACAGGAUUCAAAGAGCUUGAGUUGGUUCCACAGCUGCAUUAGAACCCUCUGCAGUCCUACAUC